CUUUUUUUCUUGCAUAGUUCCUCUGCUUGAAAAGUGUCUACAAAAUUCCAUCACACCUUUGCGGGGACCAGUUUGGGUCUCUAAGGGAGAAGGUUUCAGCCCCUCAGGAGCUAAGAUGUACAUCCAAGGAGUUCUUUUGGCCUUAUACCAACGAUUAAAGUCUGCAAAAAUAUAUUAUAAGCAGGAGUGGGUCUUCAGGCAGAGUACGGAUUCAAGAUUCCGGUCAUUCACACAUGAUUUUCCAGACAUACAACAACAACAGCAACACAAUAAUCAAUAAUAAAACAAGACAAAAAACAUGGCCGUUAUCCUUUCCUCCCUCCCUG
rnacentral:lncRNA from 1 species